AUGUCUAGCCACCAAACGUCCUCAGAUCAAGUUCUCAGCAUGGUGGUGGAGCAAGCAAUUUACCCAAUCACCGUUGAUGUGAUGUAUUCCCUCUUCGGUCCCUUCGGUAUUGAGGAGUUGGUGGUGUAUCCCCCAACAAUAUCAGAGGAUGGACAGCCAUGUGUGGCGGCGGAUGUGCGGUUUUGUUCGGCACACCCGGCGGCAUACUGGGACGGCCGCUGCAUCUACUUCCGGUGCUGUCGUCUGCAGAUGUGGAACGCAACGCCUGACGUGUUGCCGGCCCGAACCUCACCACCAACGAGCACGGCAACGCCAGAUGCCUUAAUGGCGGGUGAUACUGCUACAUCGGCACACUCCACCAUCUUGGACCCCUCCGUCAACAUCCCUACGACGGCCAGCACCAGCACGCCGCCUCACGUCCAGGAUACAUCCCCCAAGUCUUCCCUCGACAGCAACGGCCGCGUCCUCGUCACGGGCACGACCGAGUACACAUUGGUGGCGGCAAAUCCAGAAGUCGUCACCGAGCUCGCCGUCCUCCCCGGUGACCCCUUCUCCACCACCAAGGCCCAGGAGAUCCCCAAGGUUGCCCAUGAUGCAACCCCACUCUGCAUCUCGAUGGUGCCCGUCACCUGUUCGACGGAGUGCUCGACCCAGGUCGAUGCCAUCGACAGCGUCGACGAAGCCCAUGAUGGCGCCACCGUCGCAGCGGAGGUUCACAACACCACCACCGCACUCGGUCCCGAGCUCGCGAUCGACCUCUGCAACACCACAGCGGCCAUCGCUGUAGCCACCUAUGGUCACCACGACAAGUUCGACGGCAUCAACAUCCCCGUGAAGGCCAUCAUCAGCCUGCCGCCCCACAUCCAGGUUACAUUCCCGAUUUUUCCACAAUCAGCAACCGUCGAGUCGUUGUUGCUGGGACGGACGAGUACACACUCGUGGAAGCCACUCCAGACAUUGCCAUCGAGCUUGUUGUCCAGCCGCCGACAAGGCACGAAGGGCUGCCGAUACGGCCGACACCAUGGCCAUCAUAUCUGGUGCAUCAUAGUGCAGAGGAGAAUGAGGUUCGACCAACUCCGUGGCCGUCGUUUUCUUGCUCUCAUGAAGGCAUGUGAAGCAAAUGAGCGUGCUGAGCACAUAACUCUCCCACAAUCUUGGUCUGCGGUUAAGGCUGUUUGA
rnacentral:rRNA from 1 species